rnacentral:rRNA from 1 species
AGAACGAACGCUGGCGGCGUGGAUAAGACAUGCAAGUCGAGCGGAACUAGUUUUGUAGCAAUACAGAACUAGUUUAGCGGCGAACGGGUGCGUAACACGUGAGAACCUGCCCAAAAAGAGGGGGAUAGCCCGCCGAAAGGCGGAUUAAUACCGCAUAUUAACAAAGCAGCAAUGCACUUUUGGAUGGGCUCGCGGCCUAUCAGCUAGAUGGUGAGGUAACGGCUCACCAUGGCGAUGACGGGUAGCUGGUCUGAGAGGACGACCAGCCACACUGGGACUGAGACACGGCCCAGACACCUACGGGUGGCAGCAGUCGAGAAUUUUUUCACAAUGGGGGAAACCCUGAUGGAGCGACGCCGCGUGGAGGAUGAAGGUUUUCGGAUUGUAAACUCCUGUCAUGAGAGAACAAACCCGCAAGGGCUUGAUAGUACCUCAAGAGGAAGGGACGGCUAACUCUGUGCCAGCAGCCGCGGUAA